rnacentral:rRNA from 1 species
CGGCGGACGGGUGAGUAAUGCGUAGGGAUCAACCCUAAAGAGUGGGACAACUCGGGGAAACUCGAGCUAAUACCACAUAAUCUCUGAGGAGCAAACCUGGAAACGGGGCUUUAGGCUGAACUUACGUUAGAUUAGCUAGUUGGUAGGGUAAAGGCCUACCAAGGCGACGAUCUAUAGCUGGUUUGAGAGGACGAUCAGCCACACUGGGACUGAGACACGGCCCAGACUCC